AGAGACAGAGAGAGAGAGAGCACGCGCAAAUUGAUAAGGUCCGUCCGGUAACACGGAUCUAAGCUGUGAUGCGUGCGCGCGCGCGAGCAAAGAGUUACAUUAACCGACACGCAGGCGAACCCGCGUCUCUGUUUCGAAGCGUGUACACACACGGUGUAGCGGCCGUGUCGUGUAAAUCGAGAAUCAACGGGGGAACAACGCACGCACAUAGAUCACGUGUACACACGUGUGCGCGCGCGCGCGCGCUUGUACGCGCUUGUACGUGGAUUUAGUUCCGCAUCCGAGGCCAUCCGACAACGGGGAACAAUUCGGCACGCGAGUUAGAUGAGCGGCCGGAGAUGAGCCAGACGUGCAGUUCCGUGCCACGCGUUUACAUCCCGUUGUUGACUUUACGACGAUGCUACGCGGGGCGUGCGCCAAAGUGCGUACGUGGGGGUGCGCGCAGGGGUGCGUGCCGUAUAGACUUGUCCGCUUCCUUCAGAGAUACUUCAGGAUUACUGCAAUGAGUGUCGCGACAUCUCGUGUGAACAGAUGCAUUUUCGCCGUGACAAAGUCACCCGUCUGUCGGCGCCCUUAAUUUUAUAUCAAUAGACCAUUGAAUCGGAAAAAGUUGCAUAUUACUUUAAUGUACUUUAAGAUUAAACUGUGUGGCAGUAAUCGUGCACGCUGAUUGGACGAUCAUCUCACCGAUAGAAUGGAUUCAAUGCUGCAAUUUUGUUGAAAAAUAAAAUAUUUGUAUUUCUCCAGAUAUACAGCAUAUAAAUGUUUUAAAACAGA